CCAGACUCCUACGGGAGGCAGCAGUGAGGAAUAUUGGUCAAUGGGCGAGAGCCUGAACCAGCCAAGUCGCGUGAGGGAAGACGGUCCUAUGGAUUGUAAACCUCUUUUGCCGGGGAGCAAAAAGCGGUACGUGUACCGCAUCGAGAGUACCCGGAGAAAAAGCAUCGGCUAACUCCGUGCCAGCAGCCGCGGUAAUACGGGGGAUGCAAGCGUUAUCCGGAUUUAUUGGGUUUAAAGGGUGCGUAGGCUGUGAGGUAAGUCAGCGGUGAAAUGCCCCCGCUCAACGGGGUGAAGUGCCAUUGAUACUGCCUUGCUGGAAUGCGGAUGCCGUGGGAGGAAUGUGUGGUGUAGCGGUGAAAUGCAUAGAUAUCACACAGAACACCGAUUGCGAAGGCAUCUCACGAAUCCGCGAUUGACGCUGAUGCACGAAAGCGUGGGUAUCAAACAGGAUUAGAUACCCCUGUAGCA
rnacentral:rRNA from 1 species